CAAAUACAUAAUGCUGUAAGAAAUGUAAUAAUAAUGGAGAAGAAAUCAAAAUCUAUAUGGUUACUUUAAAGAUGUUUUUAAACAAACGAGGGAAAGGUUGGAAUCUAAGAGAGAAAAAGAAAAAAGAAAAGUUUACCAUUCAUAAUCUCAAACAGCAAAUAUAAAUCCUGACGGACAACACUCAGUUCAAGGUAAAUGUAACGUAGCCAUUAAGCUUGAGUAGUCAAUUUUAGAAUGCCCUAUAGGAGGAAUAUAUACUAUAUUCACCUCACUUGUGUGCUUUUUCC
rnacentral:lncRNA from 1 species